UCUUCACUAAAUAUUUUUGAAUAUAAUAUAUAAACUAUUAUAGAUAUCAACUAUAUAUAAAUAUCAAUGUGUAAAUUUUAUAUUGGUGUGAAUUAUUAAUUUAGUAUAUUUAGUAUUUUGAAAAUAUUAUUUACUUAAGUGUAAAUAUUAAUUUAGUAUUGUUAUUAUUAUUUUUAAUUGGAUAUAAGUAAUUAUAUCAAGAUAAUGAACUAUCUAUAUCAGAGUUACCAAUUUGGUUUACAGGGUCAAUAUGAGUCUGUAAAUGUUUGCUGUCAAAAAAACAAAACUAUCUAUAUAUAUAUAUUAUUGAAUAACAGCAUACAAUUAUUUGAUGUUUAAAAAAUAUAUACAAUACAAGGAUAAACUAAACUACUUGUAAACAGGAGUUGAUGAAAUGCUUCACUUGGGGUCCAAAAAUUAAGAACAAACAAUAACAUUUUUUUUAAAAGCAGUCUAACUACCUUAUUCACGGAAAUACUACGGUUUUGUUGAAUGGUGAAAAAAAAAGUGGAUGCUAUACAUAUGUGUUCCCUCUACUAAUUAUCCAUCUCCCACUCAAACAGCCCCCAAAAAAAAAUUGUCGACCAGGUUAAUCUAUGGACAUAAGCAUAGUCAGUUAUUUGUCAAAUUAACCCAUUCAAAUUAAAUUUAAAUAUCAUCCUAAAUCGUUUCAAUAGCAAUAUAUAUUUAUAGAUACAAAAGUAAUUAAAUGAAUAAUAUCCUAACAUAUAAAAUCAUAUUAGGAAAAAAUCUUUCUUAGAUGUAAUAUUGUGCUUUAAUACCAUUUUAAUCUAAUUAUACUUUGAAAAAUGUAUAUUAUAUUGCAAACAUGUUUAUUUAAUAUGUGGUUUGAUUUGAAAUAGCCUCUGGUUAAACUUUGUUGAUAUGAAAUACCAUUAACAACAUAUUACAGCAUAUUACAUAUUGUAAUUAUCUAUACAGAUGAUCGGUCAGACCGUUUUUUUUUUAACACUGAUAUUUUUUAAUUAACAAAGUUAAUAUUGAAAAAUAAUACCAAUAUCAAAUUGUAUUCAGUUUUCGGAUUUAUAUAUGAUAUUUUUAUUAUAUAUUCAGCUUUCGGAUUUUAUCAUAAAUUUUAUUAACUAUAGUAAUUUAGGCAGUUGAGACAAACAAACAAAAAAUUUAGUUACUUAUAUGUUAUAAAAGCUUAUGAGUGAUGUAAAUAGUGAAGUUAAUACAACGUAUAUCAAAACCAAAACAACAAAAAAACAUGAUAAAAAUGGUUGAAUGAUUUACUUGUGAUUAUAAAUACUUUUUAGCGACAAAAUAUCUAACGGUUUACACGUUUAGAAUAUCAAUUUGUAUCUUGAUUAAGAAUCCCAAUGUUAUUACAAAUGGUGUGUAUCAGUUCGACGCCAGGGAAUAAUCAACCAUAUCAUCAAAAUCGUAUAUAUACAUCAACAUCGACAUAAAGAAGAGUCUACCUUGUCAUCUUAUGGUCAGUGGUUGUCACAGUGAAAGAAUAAAGGAUCCCUAACUUUUUGUAGCUCUUGGAACAAUGUAACGUCGUUUUUUGUUCCAAAACACAUCUCAAACAAAUUAUUCCCCACCGUAAAAUUAUAAUCUUCUGAAGAAUCCUCUUAUGAAAUUAUAUUGCUCGCUGCUCGUGAAAACGACGUAUGUUGAACGCACGACGAAAAAAAUAAACAAUUUACUAUUUUGUCAACUGUAUAAAUUAUUACAAUUGUCUUACUUAAACCAUUAGACAACUUGAUUGGUUUAUCGGCAUCGAAUUAAUUUUAUAUGCAUUUGGCACUAAUUUUAGAACAUGUUCCGAUAAAUUUGACAACAUUCUGACUUUUAGUUUACUAAACUAUAUGGACCAAGUGUGUGUAUUUGACAACGUUCGAAACCUUAGUUCUUAACAGGUGCUGUAUAUGGACCAAGUGUGUGAUCAUAAUUAUAGCAUGUUAUUUUCCAAGCAUUGAACACAUGAUUUAUAUGAUGCGUGAUUGGGAAGUAUGGAGUAAGUGGGAGAAAAUUAAAAGGUGAAAAUGAGAGGAAAAGUAAAAUAUGGGAGAGAGGGUAAUAUAUGGCCCUGUUUGUUUACGUGUCGCGCGACCUGCGACCUGCGACCUGUGCGACUGAUCGCAAGUCGCAGGUUGUUGUUCGUUUUGAUGUCGCGCGACUGAUCGCGCGACCAGUCGCAGGUUCCCAUUCAAGUCGCUCGAAAAAACAGCGAUUAAAAAUUAAGAAAAUGGAAACAACUGUCGGGAAGCUAUCUUUUAAGGCUUUUCGAGACAUGGAAAAACAUAGAAGUCUUAGAUCUCCAUGUUAGUGUGAAGUAAACCUUAUUGGAGACAAUUAGAGUCUAGAGUCAGCCAUGAGCAGAAGCAAGAGAAGUUUGGACAUUUGGCCUUAAUUAAAAUUAAGUAUUUAUAAUUCGUUUGUAUAUAUAAUCUCAAAAAGAUUACAAGUGCAGUCAAAUGGUAAAUGUAGAUGUUUGUAAAAUUUUGGAUAAAUGACUUAGAUAGUACAAAAAAUUAUUAUGACGAAAUUAGCACACAAGGAAAAAAUGAUUAUGUUAACACUAGUUGAAAGAUAAAACCACUUAAUUACUUCAAAUCCUAAACUUUUACUCUAACCACAUCUCCUAAACACUUAACCUUAAAUUCUAAUGUUUAAACUCAAACAUAAAAUAAAAAUAUAUUUUUACUUUAAAUUAGUACUAUUUUGUCAUUUUCCCUUUUAUAUGCUAAUUUUGAAAUGAUAAAGUGUUUUAGCACUAAUUUAGGGUAUAUCUUUAAAUUUUUACAUUUCAAUUUUCUUUAAUAGCCAUAUUAAAAUAUUUUACUAAUUAGUGCGCUUAGUUAUUUCCUACGUUGCAUUGAAGUGUAUCCUAAGCCAUGGUUCCUGGUUCGGAAGCGGGGUCGGAAGCGUGCAGAACCGCUCGGAAGGGUGUCAGAACCGCGGUUUUGAAAAAACAGAUUUGGAAGCGUAUUGGAACCAAUGAUUCCUAGUUGGAAGAGUGUAAAUCCAAUAAUGAAAUCGUAAAUAAAAAAAUUAAAUGUGUUUAUGUUUUAUUUCCUGAACUGAAAACCCUAAUU